GAGUUUGAUCGUGGCUCAGGAUUAACGCUAGCGGAAGGCAUAAUACAUGCAAGUCGAACGGGAUAGGAUUUAGCAAUAGAUCCUUGAGAGUGGCGCACGGGUGCGUAACACGUAUGCAACCUGCCUUUAACAGGGGGAUAGCCUCUCGAAAGAGAGAUUAAUACCCCAUAAAAUAAUGGAGUAGCAUUACUAAAUUAUUAAAGAUUUAUCGGUUAAAGAUGGGCAUGCGGCUGAUUAGGUAGUUGGUGAGGUAAUGGCUCACCAAGCCGACGAUCAGUAGGGGGUCUGAGAGGAUGUCCCCCCACACUGGUACUGAGACACGGACCAGACUCCUACGGGAGGCAGCAGUAGGGAAUAUUGGUCAAUGGGGGCAACCCUGAACCAGCCAUUCCGCGUGCAGGAAUAAGGCCCUAUGGGUCGUAAACUGCUUUUGUAUGGGAAAAAUCAUCCUAUGUAUAGGGUGUUGAUGGUACCAUGAGAAUAAGGAUCGGCUAACUUCGUG
rnacentral:rRNA from 1 species